AGAUUGAACGCUGGCGGCAUGCCUUACACAUGCAAGUCGAACGGCAGCACGGACUCCGGUCUGGUGGCGAGUGGCGAACGGGUGAGUAAUAUAUCGGAACGUACCCUGGAGUGGGGGAUAACGCAGCGAAAGUUGCGCUAAUACCGCAUACGAUCUACGGAUGAAAGUGGGACGUCG
rnacentral:rRNA from 1 species